UACGGAGGGUGCGAGCGUUGUUCGGAAUCACUGGGCGUAAAGCGCGUGUAGGCGGUCUGCUAAGUCUGAUGUGAAAGCCCGAGGCUCACCCUCGGAAGUGCAUUGGAAACUGACAGACUGGAGUCCCGGAGAGGAGGGUGGAAUUCCUGGUGUAGCGGUGAAAUGCGUAGAUAUCAGGAGGAACACCGGUGGCGAAGGCGGCCCUCUGGACGGUGACUGACGCUGAGACGCGAAAGCGUGGGGAGCAAACAGG
rnacentral:rRNA from 1 species